GCGGCCUAUCAGCUUGUUGGUGAGGUAAUGGCUCACCAAGGCGACGACGGGCAGCCGGCCUGAGAGGGCGACCGGCCACACUGGGACUGAGACACGGCCCAGACUCCUACGGGAGGCAGCAGUGGGGAAUAUUGGGCAAUGGAGGGAACUCUGACCCAGCGACGCCGCGUGCGGGAUGAAGGCCUUCGGGUUGUAAACCGCUUUCAGCAGGGAAGAAGCGAAAGUGACGGUACCUGCAGAAGAAGCACCGGCUAACUAUGUGCCAGCAGCCGCGGUAAUACAUAGGGUGCAAGCGUUGUCCGGAAUUAUUGGGCGUAAAGAGCUCGUAGGUGGUUCGUCACGUCGGAUGUGAAAAUCUGGGGCUCAACCCCAGACCUGCAUUCGAUACGGGCGAUCUAGAGUGUGGUAGGGGAGACUGGAAUUCCU
rnacentral:rRNA from 1 species